GGAGAGAUGGCCGAGCGGCUGAAGGCGCUCCCCUGCUAAGGGAGUAUGGGAUUAAUCUUCCAUCGGGGGUUCGAAUCCCCCUCUCUCCGCCA
rnacentral:tRNA from 1 species